rnacentral:lncRNA from 1 species
UUGGAGUAAACCACGUUAGGUGGGCGCGUGGGUGCGUGCGUGUGUGGCGCAAGUCCAUGACCAGGUUGUUAGCUAGCCCAUGCAUGCCCAUGUGUUUGGCCGUGUCAUGUGUGGAUGGCCGGUGUGGUGUGCGUGCAUGUAGGUCAUGUAGUUAGUGGUUAGCUAAUGCGUGUGGGCAUGGCUUAGUGGCCGGUGUUGUGCAUGAGCUGUGUAUGUGCGCGUCUACUACUUAAGGUGCUGGCAGGUGGUAGAGCCAAAGUAGCCAAAGAGAGAUGUAGCCUCUCGGAGUGUAUGUGUGCUCGCCGUGGGGUUGUGUGUGUGGGGCAGAGUUCGAACUCGCCGGAAAUACAAGGGGCUGCUCGUGCAGCCGGAGGUGUUUGUGCGCGCGGGAAACCUCGUGUCCUCUCUCUCUUGUUUCUUCCUUGUCUUCGGUGAUCGCCGUGGUUCUGUGAGUAGGCUAGACACCAACAAUUGGUAUCAUGAGCUGGUUCAUCUUGGGUGUCGUCCCCUUGCCGGAGGCGUGCCGGCGGUGGCGGCAUUCGUCGGCGGCUGUGGCGGCACGGUGAGGAGGCCGCGGAGGACCUGCAUGGUGGCGGCUUCAACGACACACAGCGGCAUGGCGGCAUGGAGGUGCUGCGCUGCGGUGAGGCCGCAGCGGUGCACGGCAAUAAGCCGUGGCCGCGAGCCGGGCGCGACCGGUGCGUGUUAUGGGUGUGCACUGGACGCGUCGGGACCGCGGGAGCGCGUACGAGCGUGUGGUUGACGUUGCGAGGAGGCGUAUGUCGCCGUUGUGCUCGAGUCCGUGCUCGAGUUCGGCUACAUCCUUCCGGCGUUUGUCGCUGGCGGCUGCCAUGGCGGACGCGGAGGCGGCGCGCGGUGAGCGUCUGGUGCGGUCGGGCUCGUCGGGCGCGACGGGUGCGCGCGGGACGUGCGGGACGCACUGGUGCGGUCGGGCUCGUCGGGCGCGUCGGACGUGCGGGACGCAGAGGGACGCCAGGCGUGUGUCGCCGGCGGAGAAGGAGCGCGGCGUAUGUCGCCGGGGUCGUGACGGAGCACGGUGCGACCGGCGUCUGUGCGCCAGGUCGGGUCCGUGGCGGUGCGGCCGGGGUCGAUGCACCGGGUCGGGUCCGCGGGCUGAGUCACGGCCGUGACGACGACAAUAACAGGAGCUGCAACAACUCCGGCAACGGCGAGAUCGUGGUUUAGAAGGAGUAUGUUGGAGUAAACCACGUUAGAUGCGCACGUGGGUGCGUGCGUGCGUGGCGCAAGUCCAUGACCAGGUCGUUAGCUAGCCCAUGUAUGCCCAUGUGUUUGGCCGGGUGAUGUGUGGAUGGCCGGUGUGCUGUUCGUGCAUGUAGGUCAUGUAGUUAGUGGUUAGCUAAUGCGUGUGGGCAUGGCUUAGUGGCCCGUGUGGUGUAUGAGCUGUGUAUGUGCGCGUCUAUUACUUAAGGUGCUGGCAGGUGGUAGAGCCAAAGUAGCCAGAGAGACGUAGCCUCUGGGAGUGUAUGUGCGCUCGCCGUGGGGUUGUGUGUGGUAGAGUUCGAGCUCGCAGGAAAUAUAAGAGGCUGUUCGUGCGGCCGGAGGCGUUUGUACGCCG